rnacentral:rRNA from 1 species
CUACGGGGGGCUCCAGUGAGGAAUAUUGCACAAUGGGGGGAACCCUGAUGCAGCAACGCCGCGUGGAGGAUGACGCAUUUCGGUGUGUAAACUCCUUUUAUAUGUCAAGAAAAUGACGGUAGCAUAUGAAUAAGCACCGGCUAACUCCGUGCCAGCAGCCGCGGUAAUACGGAGGGUGCAAGCGUUACUCGGAAUCACUGGUGCGUAAAGGACGCGUAGGCGGGUUGGAAAGUCAGGUGUGAAAUCCUACAGCUUAACUGUAGAACUGCACUUGAAACUUCUAAUCUAGAGUAUGGGAGGGGGAGAUGGAAUUAGUGGUGUAGGGGUAAAAUCCGUAGAUAUCACUAGGAAUACCUAAAGCGAAGGCGAUCUCCUGGAACAUUACUGACGCUAAGGCGUGAAAGCGUGGGGAGCAAACAGGAUUAGAUACCCUUGUAGUC